rnacentral:tRNA from 1 species
AGUCGUAUGGUCUAAUGGUUAUGAUUUCUCGUUCACAUGAUGUGUACAUUGCCCCGAGAAGGUUCCGUGUUCGAUCCACGGUACGACUA